CGAGUUCGGCUGGGCGACUCUAAAGGGACUGCCGGUGUUAAACCGGAGGAAGGUGGGGAUGACGUCAAGUCCUCAUGGCCUUUAUGACCAGGGCUACACACGUACUACAAUGGCCGAUACAAAGGGCAGCGACACUGCGAGGUGAAGCCAAUCCCGUAAAAUCGGUCUCAGUCCGGAUUGGAGUCUGCAACUCGACUCCAUGAAGUUGGAAUCGCUAGUAAUCGUGGAUCAGCAUGCCACGGUGAAUACCGGUUCCCGGGCCUU
rnacentral:rRNA from 1 species